rnacentral:rRNA from 1 species
AUUGAACGCUGGCGGCAUGCCUUACACAUGCAAGUCGAACGGCAGCACGGGGGCAACCCUGGUGGCGAGUGGCGGACGGGUGAGUAAUGCAUCGGAACGUGCCCUGAAGUGGGGGAUAACGCAGCGAAAGCUACGCUAAUACCGCAUAUUCUGUGAGCAGGAAAGCAGGGGAUCGCAAGACCUUGCGCUUUGGGAGCGGCCGAUGUCGGAUUAGCUAGUUGGUGGGGUAAAGGCCUACCAAGGCGACGAUCCGUAGCGGGUCUGAGAGGAUGAUCCGCCACACUGGGACUGAGACACGGCCCAGACUCCUACGGGAGGCAGCAGUGGGGGAAUUUUUGGGACAAAUAGGGCGGAAAGGACCUGAUCCAGCCAUGCCGCGUGAGUGAAGAAGGA